GGAUGUAGCUCAGAGGGAGAGUACUUGUCUAGCACACACCAGGCCUGGAGUUCAAUCCCCAGUACACACA
rnacentral:tRNA from 1 species